AAUAUUGGGCAAGGGUGGGAACGCUGACGCAGCGACGCCGCGUGAGCGAUGAAGGUCNNNGGAUCNUAAAGCUUUGUCCUGGGNGAANAAGGUCUUCGGACUUGACGGUACCUAAGGAGGAAGCCGCGGCUUACUACGUUCCAUCAGCCGCUGUAAUACGUAGGGGGCACGCGUUGUCCGGAAUUAUUGGGCGUAAAUGGUGCGUAGGCGGCCUUUUAAGUCAGAUGUGAAAGCCCACGGCUUAACCGUGGGACUGCAUUUGAAACUGGAGGGCUUGAGUAUCGGAGAGGGUAGUGGAAUUCCCAGUGUAGCGGUGGAAUGCGUAGAUAUUGGGAGGAACACCAGUGGCGAAGGCGACUACCUGGACGAAAACUGACGCUGAGGCACGAAAGCUAGGGGAGCAAACA
rnacentral:rRNA from 1 species